AGCUUUGCGCAGUGGCAGUAUCGUAGCCAAUGAGGUUUAUCCGAGGAGCGAUUAUCGCUAAUAGAAACUCUAUACUCUUCAUCCUUUUGUUUCAGACCCUAAAAUAUUUAGCUCUCCCUGAAAUAUUGAGC
rnacentral:snRNA from 1 species